rnacentral:snoRNA from 1 species
AUCCCAAAUAAGCUGAGCUGAAAGUAGCGGUGCUUGUUUGAUUCAUGGGAGGCCAAAAUCAAAGUCUGGGGGUUUCGCUGAUAACGCCUUUUUAUCUCUUAUGGAAGGCGUUUAUUAGUAACUUCGCCAUACAUUC